UUACGGCCACAUCACGUUGAAACGCUGGUUCCCGUACGAUCACCAAACUUAAGCAACGUCGAGCCUGCUUAGUACCUGGAUGGGUGACCGC